UACGUAGGGGGCAAGCGUUGUCCGGAAUUAUUGGGCGUAAAGAGCGUGUAGGCGGUCCGGUAAGUCCGCUGUGAAAGUCCAGGGCUCAACCCUGGAAUGCCGGUGGAAACUGUCGAGCUAGAGUCCGGAAGAGGCGAGUGGAAUUCCUGGUGUAGCGGUGAAAUGCGCAGAUAUCAGGAAGAACACCAAUGGCGAAGGCAGCUCUCUGGGACGGUACUGACGCUGAGACGCGAAAGCGUGGGGAGCAAACAGG
rnacentral:rRNA from 1 species